AUGGGCAACUGGAACGCUCCACUCGGAGUCAGCUCAAUUCCCAUGGGCAGCGCCCGGCUGAGAGUGAUGACUGGGAACUUUCUUGUGGCAGCAAAUUAAGCCCCGCACAGCUGAUGCCACAGAAGUCCCAGGAUGAAAGCUCUCCGAGACGGUGAGAAAGAAUCAGCAGCCCUGUGAUUAAGGACACAAGAACGGUGUUCUGGACACGUCCACUCGGCCUGGGGACGUCGUUGGCGUUACCUUGGACCAGCCAUUGUGACAAAGCAGAAACCCAGGGAUUGUUGGCAUUUUGUAAUCAGCUCUUUAAUAAUUAACUGUGUUCACGCAUCG